rnacentral:miRNA from 1 species
AAACUGGACCAAGGCUUUUGG